CCCCUCUCGGGGUAGCACCUGGAGAGUUUCCAGUACUCUACUGGUAUCGGCUACCGGAGGAAAAGUCAAGGAGAGGGCUACCCAUUCCAUUCCUAGCUUGGGCAGAGGCUAGCGAGUGGAAGAUAAUCUGCUACAAGU